AAGAUGGCCCGCAGGUGUAGCUAAUGUGGCAUUGUGUAAAAACGUAUCCAAACCAUGUUAGGUAUGUCAGUAAGGGUAACCUUCACACUACAUCUGUGGCUCUUCAACCCAUCAACCUAAAGCCGCUGAGACAGUGAGAAGGUAAACAAAAAUGAGGCGGACUUCGUGCCGGGGCGGUGUUUGAGGGUCCCUCCCAUACUCCGGGCGUACUUGGUAGGCGCCUAUCAGCGGCGCCUGACCAUCGGAGAAUGAAGAUGGCGGAGAAGCAUAGGAUGCGUUCGAGCAGCAUCUCAAAGUUGUAGUUAUAAAUUGCGUCAUUUUAACUUGGCUCAUUUUGGUGGGGACGUUCAGGUGGACUGCUUAACAACUAGGAAACGGUGACUCAGAAAGGACCGGCUUAGGAGUGGAACAAAGACGUAAGCAGUGGCGGGUAGGAAGAUGUUUCUGGAAGACAAGAUCCGCGCGAGUGAGCAGGUACGCAAGUCCCACCAGGUAUGAGUGUGGGAGUGGGAGCGUGUGGAGCCAGUUCCGAUGAUCAGGAAGCAGAGAAGCAGACCGAGCGGAAGAGGAAGAUCCCCGUAGGCGGCAUCAUGGCAGGCACAUCUCCUGUCCAGAGCCAGAGACCAGCAGCCAACACCGGCCUCCGCAUGAGCUGCUCUCACUGCUGAGACCGAAGAGAAGAGAAGAGAAGAGAAGAGAGAGAGGGGGAGAGAAGAGAAGAGAAGAGAGAGAGGGGGAGAGAAGAGAAGAG